AGAUCCAUAAUUGGAUAAAUUAUAUGAAAUUUCAGAAGUUCAAGAAUAAAAUCAUCCAGAAAGAGGGAGAAAACACGUUAAGUCCAGAGCAAGAAGAAUUGCAUUAGCAUCUCAUUUUCCAUCUGAUAAACUCAAUGUGUGGUACUGUACUAUCUUCAGAUCCGGGCAGAAGAGUGAGGACAAUUCCCAGUCAGCCACAUGAUCACAACCACAAUGGUAAAGAACCAAUACUCUACAUGUGUAGCUGAGCUAUGAUGUUAGGUC
ensembl:lncRNA